GUCCGGCCUCCCCGGGCCCCCCCACGCGACCCGCGGUGCGCGCCCGGCUCCGCGCUUCGGUGCUCCUCGUCGUGGCGACGCUCGUUCCGCCGCUCCGCACCAUCUCUCCUCGAUCGCGCCGGAGUCAGACGCGCGCCGGGCGAGACGCGAGCCGGUCGGAGCGGCUCUGGGCUGAAAGCCGCGCCUCUGACGGAGCGUUAUUAGCGCCUCAUGCAUAUGGAUUCAUCCCUCAAACUUCGGAGUCUGGCUCAAUUACAGGAACGCUCCGUCGAGCCGAACCGGGCCACCCGCUGCGCCCGGCGCUGUGCGGGGGGGGCCGUCCGCCCGGCGCUGCCACUUUGAAGCAACGUCUGGAAUUCUGUCCUAAUGAGAGCUUUCCUUCUCGUAUACCCAUUUUUCUGUAACUGCACCUUUGCCGCUUUGAAGAUUCUUCCAAACUUUAAUACGAAAGGAAGAGAAAGACGAGGCGCGGCGCGGGGCGGUGCGGGGCGGUGCCCUCAGCCGCAGCCUCGGACCGGGAGCCCCGGCACAGCGCCGUGUGAGCGGGGUCCUGCCGCGGGCAGCCGGGGCCUCUCCUGGAGACAGACGGGGCGCGUGGAAGGAGACCGAAACGCGAAGCACCGCUGCGGGCACACAAGCCGCGCUCCGGGCACCGCCCGCUCCCCACCGCGUCCCGGCGGCGCGGAGAGGUGGCCCUCGGCGUGACGCUCCGGAGGGGCCCACGUGCGCGGUCGGGGAUGGAUGUGAAGAUGCAAAUAAAAGGAGUGAGGGGGCGCGGCCGGACCGAAUCCGUUCCCGGAGCCAAUCGGCCGACGGCUCCGAGGGCCGCGUGCCGCCCUGAGGACCUCCGCCGCUCCGUGCUGGGCGGGGUUCUCGAGGCGUCCGUCUGCUCCCGGUGCUCCCAUCUCCCUAUUGCUUUCUGUAGGGCGGACGCGGCACUGCGAUGCCGCUGCCCGGGGAACGCCCUCGGGUGCUCCGCGCCUGCCUCACCCCGCUGCUCCGGGAGGAACGCAGAGCCCCGCCGGACUGAGCUGCCACUCCGAGCACCGAGACGUUCCCUCUCACGCAGUAUUUAAGUCCCUUUCACGCGGUGUUCAAAUUCCCGGCGUUCUGGCCUCCUUCUCCGGUGGUCCCACUCUCUGCUUCGAAGUUUGCACAUUCCGACUGCAGUACUGCAGCAGUUAAAGGCCCGGCGCUUCCACCAGAGAAGAACGAGGCAUAUUUUUUAGCAGCCACGCUGUUACAUGACUUCAUCUGCAGGCAGCAAAUUAGCGUCUUCCUGCUUGUGCCACUGAUCUGUUCUUAUUUUGGAGCGCAACCAUCCAACAUGUUCCAUUUGCACCUUUCCUCUGCCUCCCGGCUCCCCUCCUGCACGCUCCGGGCUUUGCGCCGACUUCCAUCAAACCUAAUGUUUUGUUCUUUUAACAGCUGAUUUAACUCCAAGGGAUGAUACAUCCCUAAUGAGAAAUGAAGGCCCACUGGAGAGCACGCGGAAAUUCCCAGCCAGGCCAAUGAGAGCCGCGCCGCAGCGCUGUGUGGGUGUGCGGGGAUGGCCCCGGAUCACUGUGGGGUCUCAGCCUGCGCGGGGAACGGUGCAGAGCUCCGUGUGUUGGGGUGCCGGGGGGAUCAGUGGGCCUGAGCUCAUUGCUGGGAUCUGGGCGUGAGCACCACAACAGCUGCUGGUGGUGAAGGUGCGGGCACAUCUCUGUGUAUAGGUGUGUGUCUGCAGAUAUUGUGCAGGCUCGGGGAAGUCUGGCUUAACGGAUGUGGGCAAAGCCCACGCAAGAGGAGCGAGGCUCAUUCGUGUCCAUUUAAAAAUGCUUAACAACAGGCUGUUAGCAAUGGCUGUUCAUCGCAGUUCUCAUUACCUGCCAGCUUCAGUUUGUUUGCUGAGAAUGUCCAGGCUUGGCCCUGGCUUGGGGGCAAUGCAUUUGGGAAACGUGAGUGCGGACAGAAAGGUGUGCAAAGAGCCGCUCCAUGCUGAGGACGAGCAACGAGUGGGUUCUGCCUCCUGCCUGCACCCUGUAGGCUGGGGCUGAUCAGGGCCCCCCCACACUGCAUGCUCCUGUGGGCAGGAAGCCAGGGACGUCAGCGUGGGGCUGAUAAGGGCUGUGGGGUGUCUGCAGCAGAUAGGGUCUGCGCUGCUGCCGGGAAGCAGCCUGGCUGCUGCCUGCCCACGCGCUGCAGCAGAGCAGAGCCCGGCGGUGUCCCCAGGGUUGGCUGCUGUGUAUGGCCAUGCCUGAGGGGCCGGUGCCCCCAGCCCGGGGCACACCCUGUGCACUGCCAUGCCCUGUCCCAUCUGGUGGGAGCAGUGCUGCUGUGUGUGUGUCGUACCCGAGCUGACACUUGGCUCUUGACAACACAGGCCGUUGGUGGGCUGGGGCUGAUAGAGGCAAUUAGGGUAUAGAGUACGGCCCCAUAAUCUAUAGAUUACAAUUUUAUGGUCAGCAGUGGGUAACAUGAGAACUCGGAGUACAUAGUCCAUACUGCACAAUACCCAGCAUGACUGUCACGCAUUCCUCUACAGACAAACUGCAUCUUUUCUUCUCCCUCUCUGAUGAAAACUUCCUCAUACCAUAAACCAAAGGGUAACGGAGCUGCAGUUUGGAGUGCCUUCUGAAUUUCAGAGCACGUAAAUGGAUCCUGCUGUGUGCUGCUGCCGUGCUGCACAGUGGAAGUGGCCUCGUGGUCCCAGCCGAGCAGCCGCACUUCGGAGUCUAAAGAUAACAGCGAGCACUGGAGAACUGCUCUCAUUUCAGCACGGGGCACUCCGCCUCCUUCCCAUACUGCCAUUUUAAAUAGAAUCGCCAUUCUCCAUAGGUAAGGUGUUUGGUUUGGCUGCUGGCAGAGGAGGACGAUCCUACCCAGCUGUCAGAGAAUGCUCACAUUUCCCAAACGGCCAGGAAGGCACGAGAGCAGGCACUGUAUAGCAAGGGAGCCAAGCCUUGGGACCUGCUGCCCCGCACACCCUAAGUGCCCUGCUGUGACACGGGUGGGCACUGCCCGGGGUCUGCAGAGCCGGCACUGGGGGUGAGGGCCGUGCCAGGCAGAGCCUGAGCUGCUUGGGCUGGGGGGCUCCUGGGGAUCAACCUUUGCUUCCAGGGCUGGAGCCCCAGCAGCCUGGUGCAGAGACUGCUCUGAAAGCAUACUGGAAAGCACAAUUGAAAUUAUUGAAUCCUUUUGUAAUCUCUAGAAUUUAUCUACGAGAAGUUAAAGAAGGAAAAUUACCUCUGUUAAUGUUCAAACAUGAGCGGGUACGUUUGCUGUUACACAAACCUCUUAAAGUUAUUAAUGAUUGAUUUUAAUGUCUUGUACUUAAUGGGGGCAGACCUGGCACAGCUCACAACGGCCAGCAGGAGGGGCGCACUGCCUCGGCCAUGGGUUUGCCAUCCAUUAAGGUGGGGUGCACAGAGGGGCUCCCCCGGCCCCAGAGCCCCCUCCCCACACCGGGACCCCCCGCAGUUGUGUCACCACACAAUGCCACCCAUCUUCACCCACUCCAGGUCUGCUAAACACGA
rnacentral:lncRNA from 1 species